UGAUCACUAAAAGGAUAUUCAGCAUUAAAAAACAGUUGUCCCUGUCUGAUCUGUGCAUCUCCGAUCUGAAAAUUGAAAUCACUGCGUGACAA
rnacentral:snoRNA from 1 species